GCUGGGCAUGGUGGUGCAUGCCUGUAGUCCCAGCUAGUCAGGAGGCUGAGGCAGCAGGAUUGCUUGAGCCCAGGAGUUUGAGGUUGCUGUGAGCUAGGCUGAUGCCACGGCACUCACUCUAGCCUAGGCAACACAGCGAGACUCUGUCUCCAGAAAAAAAAAAAAAAAAUUAAAACAAAAGAAAGAAUCAGAGCCAUUUAAACUUUUUUUUUUUUGAGACAGAGUCUCACUCUGUUUCCCUGAGCUAGAGUGCCGUGGUGUCAGCCUAGCUCACAGCAACCUCAAACUCCUGGGCUCAAGCGAUCCUCCUGCCUCA
rnacentral:SRP_RNA from 1 species